AAAAGUUAUUUUGGACGAGCCACGAAAGAGGUAUUUAUCGAGGAGUUUUUGCGUGUCCUUUGUUUUCGAGUUGCGUUCGGUCGGUUUUAGGGUAAAUUAUGUACAAGAGGUCAUCUAUGGUUACCUAACUUGGAAAAUUUCUAUGAACAGAGUUUUUUAUGAAUGGAUUGGGUAGCUAAAUGUUCUUUUGGACGAGCCUAGAAAGAGGUAGUUAUAGAGGAGGUUUUGCGUGUCCUUUGUUUUCGAGUCGCGUUUGGUUUGUUCAUGGGCAAAUUUUGUACAAGAUGUCAUAUAUGCGUACCUAACUCAGAAAAAUUCUGUGAACGACAUUUUUUAAGCAUGGACUGGGUAGGAAAAAGUUAUGUUGGAUGAGCCACUAAAGAGGUAGUUAUCGAGGAGUUUUUGCGUGUCCUUUGUUUUCGAGUCGCGUUUGAUCGGUUUUAGGGCAAAUUCUGUACAACAUGUCAUAUAUGGGUACCUAACUUUGGAAAAAUUCUGUGAAUGGCAUUUUUUAAGCAUGGAUUGGGUAGCAAAAAGUUAUUUUGGAAGAGCCACGAAAGAGGUAGUUAUCGAGGAGUUUUUGCAUGUCAUUUGUUUUUGAGUCGCGUUUGGUCGGUUUUAGGGCAAAUUCUGUACAACAUGUCAUAUAUGGGUUGGGUUAUAAAAAGUUAUGUUGGACGAGCCACGAAAGAGUUAGUUAUCGCGGAGUUUUUGCGUGUCCUUUGUUUUUGAGUCGCAUUUGGUAGGUUUAAGGGCAAAUUAUGCACAAGAUGUCAUAUAUGGGUACCUAACUUGGAAAAAUUAUGUAAACGGCAUUUUUUAAGCAUGGAUUGGGUAUCAAAAAGUUAUUUUGGACGAGCCAUAAAAGAGAUAUUUAUCCAGGAGUUUUUGAGUGUCCUUUGUUUUCGAGUCGCAUUUGGUUGGUUUUAGGGCAAAUUCUGGACAAGCUGUCAUAUAUGGGUACCUAACUUGGAAAAAUUCUGUGACCAGCAUUUUUUAAGCAUGGAUUCGGUAGCAAUAAGUUAUUUUGGAUGAGCCAAGAAAGAGGUAGUUAUCGAGUAGUUUUUCCGUGUCCUUUGUUUUUGAGUCGCGUUUGGUCGGUUUUAGGGCAAAUUCUGUACAAGACGUCAUAUAUGGAUACCUAACAUGGAAAAAUUCUGUGAACGAAAUUUUUUAAGCAUGGAUUGGGUAGCAAAAAGUUAUUUUAGACAAGCCACGAAAGAGGUAGUUAUGGAGGAAUUUUGCGUGUCCUUUGUUUUUGAGUCGCGUUUUGUCGGUUUUAGGGUAAAUUCUGUACAAGAUGUCAUAUAUGGGUACCAAACUUGGAAAUAUUCUGUGGACGACAUUUUUAAGCAUGUAUUGGGUAGUAAAAAGUUAUUUUGGGCAAGCCACCAAAGAGGUAAUUAUCCAGGAGUUUCUGCGUGUCCUUUCUUUCCGAGUCGUGUUUGGUCGGUUUUAGGGAAAAUUCUAUAACAGAUGUCAUAUAUGGUACCUACCUUGGAAAUUUUCUGCGAACGACAUUUUUUUAAGCAUGGAUUUGGUAGCAAAAUUUAUUUUGGACGAGCCACAAAAGAGGUAGUUAUCGAGGACUUUCUGCGUGUCCUUUAUUUUCGAGUCGCGUUUGGUCGGUUUUAUGGUAAAUUCUAUAACAGAUGCCAUAUAUGGUAGCUAACUUGGAAAAUUUCUGUGAACGACAUUUUUUAAGCAUGGAUUGGGAAGCAAAAAGUUAUUUUGAACGUGCCACGAAAGAGGUAUUUAUCGAGGAGUUUUUGCGUGUCCUUUGUUUUCGAGUCGCGUUUGGUCGGUUUUAGGGUAAAUUCUGUACAAGAUGUCAUGUAUGGUUACCUAACUUGGAAAUGUUCUAUGAACGGAAUUUUUUAAGAAUGGAUUGGGUAGCUAAAGUUAUUUUGGACGAGCCAAGAAAGAGGUAGUUAUAGAGGAGGUUUUGCGUGUCCUUUGUUUUUGAGUCGCGUUUGGUUGGUUCAAGGGCAAAUUCUGUACAAGAUGUCAUAUAUGGGUACCUAACUUGGAAAAAUUCUGUGAACGACAUUUGUUAAGCAUGGAUUGGGUAGCAAAAAGUAAUGUUGGACGAGCCACGAAAGAGUUAGUUAUCGAGGAGUUUUUGCGUGUCCUUUGUUUGGAUUGGGUAGCAAUAAGUUAUUUUGGGCAAGCCACCAAAGAGGUAAUUAUUGAGGAGUUUCUGCAUGUCGCGUUUGGUCGGUUUUAGGGCAAAUUCUAUAACAGAUGCCAUAUAUGGUACCUAACUUGGAAAAUUUCUGUGAACGGCGUUUUUUAAACAUGGACUGGACAGCAAAAAGUUAUUUUGGAUGAGCCACGAAAGAGGUAUUUAUCGAGGAGUUUUUGCGUGUCCUUUGUUUUCGAGUUGCGUUCGGUCGGUUUUAGGGUAAAUUAUGUACAAGAGGUCAUCUAUGGUUACCUAACUUGGAAAAUUUCUAUGAAUAGAGUUUUUUAUGAAUGGAUUGGGUAGCUAAAAGUUCUUUUGGACGAGCCUAGAAAGAGGUAGUUAUAGAGGAGGUUUUGCGUGUCCUUUGUUUUCGAGUCGCGUUUGGUUUGUUCAUGGGCAAA
rnacentral:lncRNA from 1 species